CUUAAAUUGAAGAGUUUGAUCAUGGCUCAGAUUGAACGCUGGCGGCAGGCCUAACACAUGCAAGUCGAGCGGAAACGAGUUAUCUGAACCUUCGGGGGACGAUAACGGCGUCGAGCGGCGGACGGGUGAGUAAUGCCUAGGAAAUUGCCCUGAUGUGGGGGAU
rnacentral:rRNA from 1 species